GGACGGUACGCUACUGUCUUGACUCACCAUCGGCUUCUUUUCGUGGCAUCGUCAAUCAACUAUGGUAUUUUUGCCCAGAGCCAGGGCCUAUUCAUUCAUCAGCAUCAGCAGCUCGCCUAUCACUGAAAACCACCACCAUACCACCACACGCACAUACAUCCAUGCAUUCAUCUACUGCUAAAAACGAGCACAUCAAAAGGAAACCAUCACAGCUACUCACUUCACUUGGACUAGAUUGAUUUAUUCUUCUUGUUCACAAGUUUACCUCUGCUAAACAUCUUGUACUGUUUUGUUGUUACGACGCAGUAGCAAAAUCACACACCACAGGUAGAAUAGAAUGGGAGAUAUGAUCACCUCCUUCACAUGGCAAGAGAACCUUCUGGUGCCCCGGAAGCCGCCGACGCCUUCUUCUUUGGCUUCUCCACAACGAUGGCUUGCGUGGUUAGUACCAUUCCAGCCACCGAGGCUGCGUUUUGCAACGCACAUCUUGUCACCUUUGCAGGGUCAAUCACACCAGCCUGUACCAAGUUCUCGUGUCUGUCAGCCAUCGCAUUGUAGCCAACCUCCCAUUCACUCUCCUUGAUCUUUUCUACAAUCACUUCCCCUUCAACUCCAGCAUUGUGUGCUAUUAGUGCUGCCGGUGCCACUAGAGCCUGCAAAACCACCCAAAAACAAUUACUACUCUAUAUCAUACUAAGUAAAAACAAAAACUGUUACACUAAAAUGCUCAAGUUCCAAACUUGGUUUACUCCAUGAAACCACACAUCUGUUGCUUUUGAAGCAAACCUAGACGCCAUCCACCACGAUACAUACACUACAUUGCCUUGGUUUAAAUGUUGGCAAAAUUAUUUUAAAGCGGAAUAAUACCUUUUGAAUGAUAUCAGCACCAAGGCGCUCUUCAGGGUCAUCCAACUUCUCCUUGAUGGCUGGUACAAAUUUUGACAGGUGAACAUAGGCCGCACCACCUCCAGGUACUAUACCUUCCUCAAUAGCAGCAAAUGUUGCAUUCUUGGCAUCCUCGAUACGAAGCUUGCGAUCCUCAAGCUCUGUCUCGGUUGCAGCUCCUACCUUUAUAACCGCAACUCCGCCAGAAAGCUUUGCGAUUCUCUCAGCCAACUUCUCAGAGUCAUAUGCUGAGUCUGUCUGAGAAAGCUCUCUCUUCAGCUGUGCAAUUCUUGCCUGGAUCUCAUCUUUG
rnacentral:lncRNA from 1 species